UUGCAGUUAAAAAGCUCGUAGUUGGAUUUCGGAACCGGCCGAUUGGUCCGUCCUCUGGAUCGUGUACUGAUCGGUCUGUUCUUCUUCGCGAAGACCGCGUGUGCUCUUAACUGAGUGGGCGUGGGAUUCGCGACGUUUACUUUGAAAAAAUUAGAGUGUUCAAAGCAGGCAGUCGCUUGAAUAUCUCAGCAUGGAAUAAUAGAAUAGGACUUUGGUCUUAUUUUGUUGGUUUCCGAGACCGAAGUAAUGAUUAAUAGGGACAGUUGGGGGCAUUCGUAUUUCAUUGUCAGAGGUGAAAUUCUUGGAUUUAUGAAAGACGAACUUCUGCGAAAGCAUUUGCCAAGGAUGUUUUCAUUAAUCAAGAACGAAAGUUGGAGGCUCGAAGACGAUCAGAUACCGUCCUAGUUCCAACCAUAAACGAUGCCGUCUGCGGAUCGGAGGUCGCUCAUGUAAGGCUCCUUCGGCACGCUAUGAGAAAUCAAAGACUUCGGGUUCCGGGGGGAGUAUGUUCGCAAGAAUGAAACUUAAAGGAAUUGACGGAAGGGCACCACCAGGAGUGGAACCUGCGGUUUAAUUUGACUCAACA
rnacentral:rRNA from 1 species